UAUAUUCCUGAGCCAUAAAGGAAAUUGGAAUUAAGCUGACCAGCUCAAGAUAGGAGCCUCUGGCGCACAAAGUCUAAACAAGUGAGCCUGGACCCAAUUUGCGCACAGCUGCUAGGAGUGAGCAAACAGGAAUGGUCACACCCUGAUCUUUCCUUGGUGGCAGUUUGAAGAAGCAAACUUGGCUUUCAGCAGUGGAACAAAUCUUAAGCAGUGUGACAAGAUGGCCCACAUGAAAUCAUCAGGCAUUUUGUUAGGGACGAAGUUAUCCAUCAGGAAAGAAGCUACUAAGAAGUCAGACUUUGUGGUUCUCAACUACAAAACUGGGCAACGCUGCUCUGCCUCUGGGAAGAGGAUCUGCUUGUAUUCCAUCAUCAAAUUUUCUGGAAAAGGUCACAGAUUCAACAUGCGGUAGGAGAGAAAAACACAUUCCUGAGAGGUUGGAAAGCUGCAUGCAGGCUACUAGGCACUAAAGGUCAGUACAUACUUAGAAACCACCUACAUGCUAUAUUUAGCAUGAGCUGCAUAUGUCUACAGAUCUGGGCCUGUCCAUGACUCAUGGACACUUCAUGCAGCAGCCAAGUUGCACAGCUGCUUAACCCAGGCUUCAUCAAACCCAUGAAAAAGCCUCUCAAGAAUAUUUGAAGUGUGCAACUAGAAGCUUUCAGUAAUGUAAUUUGGCCUCUGAGAUGCCAUUGACUUACAAUGGGAGAAUGAGUCAAUUUGCAGAACAGAAUUAAUACUUGGAAAGCAUAGGUCUCCCCUCUACUGUGCCAUUGAACUUAUUGCUAGUCUGGGCCUUCCACUGUAAUGCCAUUGAUUUACAUUGGUUGACUGAGGCUGCAUCCACAGAUUUUCCUUCCUUGGGCUGGGAGGCACGAGAACUGUCAUGGAGGCAACCAUGUUCUGGCCAUAUUGCUCAGGUCCCACGGCAAAUGGAAUGCUGCGGUGAGUGAAACUUCCACUUGCAGCAGUGAGGAUUCUGCUCCUUUUUGGUUCUUUGAGCAUUGAUUCCAGGCAGAAUCCUCACCUUUUGGUUUGUUACCCUCCCCUCCCCUCCUCAUUCAUCCACACUGAGGGAGGCAACUUCCUCCAACUGAAGUUGCCUGGGAAUAUUUCAAACUGGUGUAACCGACGGUUUGGUCAAGAGUUGGGAGCUGGAAGCUUUUGCUGGUCCCUACUCCUCAGUUGCCCAGUGCUUAUAUGGAUGGUGCCUGAGACUUAUUUCUGUGCUGCCAUUGACUUAUGAGCCUCAAUUCUUUCCCUAACCCCCAGUGUUGUAAAAGUGGAAAUGGUUGUGGAGGAGAAGACAUGAGUUAGCUGCCGCAGUUGUGUUUGCUUGUCUCUUAUUCCAAGCUGGAAUAAGAACCGUGACUGCUUUGGGGUGAGGUGGAGAGAAGAAAAAAGAUCUAAGG
rnacentral:lncRNA from 1 species